CGUCUCCUUCGCCUACGCGCUGGAUGUAUUGUUCCUCGAAUCGCCCUCGUUAAGUCCGGGAAGGCCGAGGUGGAUCCCACGGUUGAGCCUCGCCGAUGCGCAGGUCUUAAUUUUGUGCUGGAACAGAAUACCCUUAAGUCCAUAGAGAUAGAGCUAACAGAAGAGAUGGCGCCUAACUUGCUGCAGACCGAUAUGGUUAUGCAGUUUGGUCUGCUAGCACAGAGGCCCUUGAGUUUGUUCAGGAAAAAAUGUCAUCGUUUAUGAAGUUAGGUGAUGGUUCACAGAAGCUCUUGAUUUUGUCAUGGGCUGGUGACCCAUGAUGAAGCUAUUGCUACCGGAAGACUAGAAAUAUAGCAUCCCCUUCUAAGGUGUUGAAUUUUGGAGAUCAGGGCAAAAUUCAGGAAGCCAUGGUUCAAAUGCAUAUAAGAGAAGAAGAGACUGUGAUCUGUAUCUAUGGACAGAACCUUGAUUUCGUGUUGGUGGAAGUUAGUCUUAACAAUAUGGUACCAGAGACUUCGACAAACUAUGAUUUGUUAAAUCACAUACUGAAUGAACUUAGAGUCCCUCUUAUCGCAAUAUGUUCUUAUGACGAUGAAGUUGCGCUUUCUAAAUAUAUGAACCUGGCCACCUGGGUGCAUGCUUCCAUGUGCUGAAGCCAUUGGAUAGAAGAAGCUUCAGCAUUCUGUGGCACCAAGCACUGGAACACAAGUCUAAAAAGGCAGCACCCCAAGGACACUAGGUAUUAAUAAUAGUACCAAAAAAUAGAA